rnacentral:lncRNA from 1 species
UCUGUCCAUUUUUGCACUCAGGCUCAGCUGGCUCAUGGACCAUACCAGAGGGACCAGGCCCAUGGUUGGCCACCAUGGGUUCCUCCAGUCUUCCAUUCCAUGGUUGCACGCACCUUGAGGGCACCCACAUGGUUUGUCCAUCUCCUGUAAAAACAUAAGCAUACCCUUGUCCCCACAGCAGUAAAUCCACCAUACCUUUCCAUUGUCCUUCUUCCAGGGAUUUCCAUAAUAAUUUCAGAUAAACUUUCCUAAUUUCCUCUAACGCUUGCCAAUGUCUUUCUGCUGCAGUCUUAUCAUUCAUACAAGGAGUCAAAAAAUUUAAAGUAAAUAAAGAUAAACUUAGUUUUGUUUGAGGUGGUGGCUGGUGUCCUAUCACCCUUUUUUUGUUUUCUCAACAUGCGUUGUAACGUUUGAUGUGCCUGGUCUAUAAUGUAAGGAAUUCCUGUUUUAUGGGUCAUAGCCCAAAGCUGUAGGAAAGUUUGAAAAGCAUGACUAGUAUAAGCAGGUCCAUUGUCAGUUUUUAAUUGUUUAGAAAUCUAAUUAACACUCCCAUCAGAGAGGCCACUUACCACCAGUCUUCCUUAGCCACCAAGCAUGUUUGGAGCACAAUUCCUGAAGAGGGAGUUACAGUGCAGUCUUUUCUACAUGUCACACAGGGAUCACAGGAGCCUUAUGCACAAU